rnacentral:rRNA from 1 species
UACGUAGGGAGCAAGCGUUGUCCGGAUUUAUUGGGCGUAAAGCGCGCGUAGGCGGUUUGGUAAGUCGGGUGUGAAACCUCCAAGCUUAACUUGGAGCUGCCACUCGAAACUGCCAUGACUUGAGUCUGGUAGGGGAACACGGAAUACCUGGUGUAGCGGUGAAAUGCUUAGAUAUCAGGUGGAACACCAGUGGCGAAGGCGGUGUUCUGGGCCAGUACUGACGCUGAGGCGCGAAAGCGUGGGGAGCGAACAGG